GUGGGGAAUAUUGGACAAUGGGCGAAAGCCUGAUCCAGCCAUGCCGCGUGUGUGAAGAAGGUCUUCGGAUUGUAAAGCACUUUAAGUUGGGAGGAAGGGCAGUAAGUUAAUACCUUGCUGUUUUGACGUUACCAACAGAAUAAGCACCGGCUAACUUCGUGCCAGCAGCCGCGGUAAUACGAAGGGUGCACGCGUUAAUCGGAAUUACUGGGCGUAAAGCGCGCAUAGGUGGUUCAGUAAGUUGGAAGUGAAAUCCCCGGGCUCAACCUGGGAACUGCUUUAAAAACUGCUGAGCUAUAGUACGGUAGAGGGUGGUGGAAUUUCCUGUGUAGCGGUGAAAUGCGUAGAUAUAGGAAGGAACACCAGUGGCGAAGGCGACCACCUGGACUGAUACUGACACUGAGGUGCGAAAGCGUGGGGAGCAAACAGGAUUAGAUACCCGUGUAGUCC
rnacentral:rRNA from 1 species